UCCUUUUCUGGAAGGAUAAAAGAUGUAAAAUGCUUUGUUGCAAAUUAAGUCCUUUGUUGUGUAACAGUGUCUGAAAGGCUUAGUUUUUGUACGCAUACAAAGCAAAAACAUAUUUCAAAGCCUUGAAAUUUAAAACGAAAGUUUAUAAAAAUAAAUUUAUAAUUUAUUUUGUUGAUCUAUAAAGGAAAGCUUACCUAAUGGAUUUCUACAGAGGAUAAUUUCCAUAUUCCUGUUCUCUUUCCUGAAAAUGCUGGAAUUUGUUAACUUCUCAUUAAUUAUUUUAUAAACAGUAUAGAAACAAAUUGAAGAUUUGCACUAAUCUGUGGAGAAUAAUGGGUGAUAAGUGUCAAGAGUCCAGUUCAGAACCUGCAGUCAGUCUGUUACAGAAAAGCACUGAUAUUUGUUCUCUACUGCCUCCCUUGAAGGUGCACAGUCAAUUGUGGGAAAAAUGAAGAAAGAAAAAAGAAAAAACACAACUUGCAAAACAAUUUUGAAGUGCUGUCUGCCAUGGAUAUAAGCCAGAAUAGGCAGCUGGGCUUUAUUUUUGCUUUGAAGGGUCCAAGGAUGCACACAAACUACUGCACUCCCUCUUUUUCAUGUAUCCACCAAGUCCCAUGGAGUUCUGGGCUGCAUCUGAACCGUCUUGCUGACCCUUCCACUCAGUCCCCAGAUUAGUGCUCCAAGCAGCCCUGCGAUUAUGCUGCUCAAUACUGAUUACAAAGAGUAAGGAGUGGGAGUAUAGCUGAAUUUCAAGUAAAAGACUUCCUUGCAAAACUUUGAUUUGCAGAUACCAGUGAACUUUGUGGGAAGAAGAACAUCAGCUCUGACAGAAGGGGACAAGGCUGGAAUUUUCCCCUGCAUGGCUGCCUGCAAGCAUGACCCAGUGCCAGCUGGCUCCCCACACUGAGCCACCAUAGUUUGAAGCCUCUGUCUGAAAACACCACACAGACACGGAUGAAUGCCAGGAACAAUGGAGUCAGCAGCUUUUUGAUUUUCACUCCAGUGCUAUUGCGAGUUUCUUGGGCUGAAGUUCUUUAUGCAGAUUCCUAAAGAUCGCUUUAAGGAACUCCAUACUUUGAGGGUUGGAUUUGAAGAUGUGCAUCUGUUGCUACAGAAGACUUGCUCCUGAGCUCUCUAUCCAGUCACUUGGUCACUGUAGAGCGUACAACAAUGAAUCACAGUUAUAAAAAGUUACAAAAAAUAUUUUGGUAUAAAUAAUAAAUAGAAAGAACUUUAAAAUAAACUUCUUUCAAUUUAUUUCCCUUGUGAUAUGAGAUGAACACUCUGUUAUGUGGACAAAAUUUGAAGCCUCUGACUCAAAAAGUGUGUUAAGCUGUCCUCUGUCUACUGGGGGAAAACAAUUCCGUUCUCUUUCAACAUGAAUCUCAUGCUUCAUACUGUAUUGGAAUAUGCGCUCAGAAUUUCAGACUUAAGUCCUUCCAGUCUGUGACUACUGCAGGAAUAAAAAAAGUGACUGUUCAAAUGCUAACUAAAUUUUGUUCAAGUGAAAAAACUACUGUUUUCCAUUUUCUCUAAAACCAUGUGCUAAGGUGCUUAUGCAUA